AUUAGAGUUUGAUCCUGGCUCAGAUUGAACGCUGGCGGCAUGCCUUACACAUGCAAGUCGAACGGCAGCACGGAGCUUGCUCUGGUGGCGAGUGGCGAACGGGUGAGUAAUAUAUCGGAACGUACCCUAGAGUGGGGGAUAACGUAGCGAAAGUUACGCUAAUACCGCAUACGAUCUAAGGAUGAAAGUGGGGGAUCGCAAGACCUCAUGCUCGUGGAGCGGCCGAUAUCUGAUUAGCUAGUUGGUAGGGUAAAAGCCUACCAAGGCAUCGAUCAGUAGCUGGUCUGAGAGGACGACCAGCCACACUGGAACUGAGACACGGUCCAGACUCCUACGGGAGGCAGCAGUGGAGAAUUUUGGACAAUGGGCGAAAGCCUGAUCCAGCAAUGCCGCGUGAGUGAAGAAGGCCUUCGGGUUGUAAAGCUCUUUUGUCAGGGAAGAAACGGUGAGAGCUAAUAUCUUUUGCUAAUGACGGUACCUGAAGAAUAAGCACCGGCUAACUACGUGCCAGCAGCCGCGGUAAUACGU
rnacentral:rRNA from 1 species